rnacentral:rRNA from 1 species
UUUAAAUUGAGAGUUUGAUCCUGGCUCAGGAUGAACGCUGGCGGCGUGCUUAACACAUGCAAGUCGAGCGAUGAAGUUUCCUUCGGGAAAUGGAUUAGCGGCGGACGGGUGAGUAACACGUGGGUAACCUGCCUCAUAGAGUGGAAUAGCCUUCCGAAAGGGAGAUUAAUACCGCAUAACGUUGAAAGAUGGCAUCAUCAUUCAACCAAAGGAGCAAUC